AUUCACUAAGGUGCACUGCUAUAGUAAUUUUUCCAACCCCUUUCCAUGUGGAAUUAGGGUUCAUUUUAUAGUAGGCUCUAAUGGCCCUGGAUACAUGGUGGUCCAGGGGACAAAGCGGUACACAGGUACACUGUCAGGAGAGUGGUUUCAGAGGUAGUGGUGUUGACACUAGUACAUGGCUAGGUACCAUCAGGAUGUCUCCAUUACUUGACCGUACGAAUGUCACAGGAGUGGUGCAAGUGGUAGUGGUGUCAACUCUGACAUCUGGUUGGGAGCAUGCAGGCCAUGUCUUCUCUCCUAGUGCUCAAACUACUUGUCUAGCAUGAGUGCUAUGGUCAGGCGUACGGGGUCUUAAAAGUCGUACCCCGUACAAGAUUGUACUAGCAUGACCUUUCUGAAUCAUACUUGGGCUUUCACUUUUAGACGGUGGGGUUUCCAUAGUUCUCCAUAGGAGAUGCCAUCUCGAGGUGAAAGGUGCGAGAUACUCCCUCGCGAGGCCCUCGUGGCCCAGCCGUGGCGAGGCUAGGCGAAGCAGUCUCUCGCGAGGCCCUCGGGGCGCGGCCGUGGCAAGGCUAGGUGAGUUCGUCUCUCGCGAGGCCCUCGUGGCACGGCUGUGGUGAGGCUAGGGGAGGCCGUCUCUCGCGAGGCCCUCGUGGCGUGGCCGUGGUGAGGCUAGGCGAGGCCGUCUCUCGCGAGGCCCUCGUGGCGCGGCCAUGGCGAGGCUAGGCGAGGCCGUCUCUCACGAGGCCCUCGUGGCGCGACCAUGGCGAGGCUAGGCGAGGCUGUCUCUCGUGAGGCCCUCGUGGCGCGGUCAUGGCGAGGCUAGGCGAGGCCGUCUCUCGCGAGGCCUUCGGGGCGCAGCCAUGGCGAGGCUAGGCAAGGCCAUCUCUCGCGAGGCCUUCAUGGCGCAGCUGUGGCGAGGCAAGACAUUGCCAUGUCUCGCGAGACCCUUGAAGGCGCAGCUCUUGUGGUGCGCGACUUCCCUCGCGAGACCCAUAGUGGCGCGAGACCAUGCCUCGUGAGGUGCUUAGGGGCAUGAGACGCAAGGUGAAUGCUGGACACCGUGUGUGGCACGAGGUGCUUAGGUGCGCUGGACGUCGCGCGAGACGCCUCCAUUCGCGAGGCCGUCAGGUGCACGCAAGGCGUGGCCUCGCUAGGUGUGCGGCAGGUGCGAGACAAUGGUGGUUCGAGGGCAUCGCGGCUCAAUCACGUAAUUAGGCGCUUAUGGGACCUUGGCACUUGUUUUGGGUCUUCUCCAAGCAUGAAAUUUUGAGCAUCCACACUUGCCCCCCAGUCUAGGAGAGGACCUUUGGGUGCUUUGGUAGACUUUUCUCUUUAAUCCUUAUAAAUAGGCUUUCAGGCAAGGCUUAUUAUUUACACCUUACUUCCUUAGCUUAGUGGUACCUAGACCCUUACUCCUUUCAAGAGGUAAGGGGUUCAACCCCCCACAACCCCACUUUUGCUAAAUUUUUUUUUUAAAUGUGCUAAUUUUUGGUAUGUCUAUUUGGAGGCUAACACUUUUUUUUUUUUUUUGCUUAUUUUUGCAGACGCGUGCUUUCGACCACUUAGCUCUUUUUGACCGUGACGGUGCUUUUGGCCCUGGACCUCCUUUAGACCACGACAUCGCUCUAUUUUACCUGCUUGAGGUAUAUUUUCUUUUUCGCUCAUGUUCAUUGGGUCCAAAUUAGCAUUACUCGGGAUGGGGUACCUUGGCCUGAGCUUGCCAUGAGUUUGCCCAGUUGCAUGCCUCUCUUUUUUAUACCCUGUAGUGGAUCAUUUAAGGCGUUUUCAUGUAGAGGUUUUAAGCCCAUUCCUUUGUGUUUUGUAGCUAUCCCCUCAUUUAUAUGUGAACCCCUUAUUGCUUUUGGGACGAGGUCUCAUGGCCAGUGACGGUCCAUUCGACAUACCUCCGCGGGUUGAGUUUGUUGACCUGUCCUCAGACUCAGAGUCCCCUGAGGAAAACCCUCACCAAGACUAUGACUCCUUAAGGCAGGCCCGUAUCCGUCACCUUGAGCACAUGGCUGAACUUAGGCGUAAAAUUUGGGUGGUGGAGAGUGAAAUUGACUCAGUGUUGAGAGGAGACAGAGCACCUUUUCCCCCUGACCUUAGUGACAACGUAGCGAGCCUUAGGGUGACCCUUUUAGAGUUGCAGAGGGAGUUGGAAUUUAUGGAGGGACACCUUUCGCCUGAGCCCUCUAGCCCAUCCUCGCCUGAUGACUGUCAUGGGGCCGCUUCUGCUUCCCCUCAGCCCUUAAUUUCGAUCUUCCCUAGCUUAGUGCUUCCGCAGCCGGUCCCCCGGUGGAAGACUCUUGCUAGGAAGAGAAAAUGGAGGGUUAAGUGUUUUGUCUCUUCCUCACCUUUUUCUUUUGGUUUUGCAGAUAUGCCGAGGGCACGACAAAAAGUAUCUACCAAUGAACCGAACGAUGCUCCUUUACUGGCAUCCAAACUGGUGUCACAUGUGUCAGAAAAUAAACUGAGAUAAAUUGUGAAGCACUAUCGCGUUCCUCCGGAGUACUCUUUAUACGCUCCUUUGGAGACAUGCCGGGCUAACCACCCUAGGACCGGUUUCGUGGCCCUUAGUGAGCACAUCCUGAAGGCGGGUGGUACCAUCCCGUUACACCCGUUCUUUGUUGCGGUCCUCAAUUACUUUGACCUUGUUUCACUUCAGCUGGCACCCAGUGGCUGGCUGACUUUGAGCUGCCUUUUCAUUGCGUUCGCGGUACUUGCCAAACGUGCCUCUACGGCGCUAAAGGUGCACUUCCUGUAUAACCUCAUGCCCUCUCCCAAGUCCAAGGGCUUCUACUAUCUGCAAAAGGCCAAUAACGAGGUCCCUUUGAUAGAGGGCUCAGUAUCCAAUCCGGGGUCCUGGAAGCGGGAAUUUUUCUUCGUAAAGGGCCCUCUCUCUGUCCGUGAGGACUUCCGUGCCACCCCCAAGCAAUUUUCCGUUCCCGUGGUCGUUGGGUCGGAGGCGGACGCCGUGAUGGACCUCAUUAAUGCUGACCCCGCCCUGAAAAAGGCUGUGUUCUUAUUCAUCGUGGAAAAUUUGAACCUUCCGAAACUGUCCCCAGUCUCAGACCCCAAGUUGCUGUGGACCAUCCCUGGGUCCAAGAAGAUGAAGGCGGUGUCGGCCGAGCCUUGCCGAGAUGAAGGUGAGGCUGAGGAUGAGCCGGAGGAAGCCCCCCUUUAAUGCAGGGGACCUCACCAGCUGUCUUCGUCUCCUGGGGGAUGCCCUCCUUAUGCCUCUUAUGACAUGGACAUAGCCUCCCAACCUCAAGACCAGCAUGCCGUACCGGAGUGUUUUGUUUGCCCCGACCCUGAGGGCUAUGACGCUUUCACUCAGGCUCCCCUCGACCCUGGUCCAUCGGGGGCUUACUUUGCCAAUCUUCCAGCACCCCCCUCUGAUCUACCAGGGCCUCACUUUUCCACUUUUCCUGCGCCCCCUCCCAUUUCAGCGAGCGGGUCGUCUGUCCAUACCCAGCCAGGUGCCCCUGGCUUGGAUAGGGCGCCCUGGGUGAAUCGUAUGGCAACCUCUUACGGGCGGUGGUUGAUCCAAAUCACCUCGGACCUCGCUGAAUCAGACUGGAACAGUCUUGGGAGUUUUGCUCUGUCAGACCUUGGGGAAACUCUAAGGCGCACCACUGCUUGGGCCCAUAUUGUGGCUCAGCGGUUUGCCGACUCGGCUAACAAUCUCUCUGCAUCAAGUGAUGAGAGGGACCGUCUCACGGCCCGGGUCGAGGAGCUCGAGAAAGAGCUUGAGGACACCCAAACUGAACUAAAAAGGGUUUGGACCAAACUUUCUGUCUCGUCAAAAAGGAAGCUGAAGGCGGUUGCCAAAGCCACGACGCUGCAGGACAAGGUCACCGGCCUAGAGAGCGAACUCUAGUGGACCAAGGCUAUCGCGGCUGCAUCGCAGGAGAGAGUCACUUAUUUAGAGGCUGAACUCGAGGCUACUAGGGCCGAACUCGAGUCUGCUAGGGCCGAACUCCAGGCUGUUAGGGCCGAUGUAGCCACGUCGUAGGAGAGAAUUGCUUCCUUAGAGGCGGAUAAGAUAGCUAUCGAGUACAGGUCCAUAGACCGUGCCCUUUACAGUGUGUGGAGGCAGGAUCCCCACUUUGAUUUUUCUUCUUUCAGUGAGCACGCCGUUGCUCGAGCGCCCGUGUGGAGCGCCCGUGGCAGGAAGCCCUGAGGUCGUCAUAUGCUCAUUUCUGUCAACUAUCCCGCUGUGGGCGUAUGCUCACCUUGAGCCUUUGUAAUAUUAUUGUUAUUAUUUUUAUUUUGUGAAUCUUUUCAUGUUAUCAAGACUCCUUUUUCAAUAUAUAUAUAUACAUGUAUGAUGGGGUUUGGCAGGUUCCCCUUUUUUAUUUACCAGGCUAGAGGUCCUUUGGAGCCCAUGCGAAAGGGUUCACUGGGACCUUUUUUGGUGCCUCUUGAUUACUUCUAUAAGGAUAUUUUGACCCCUUGGGUUCUAGCUAUCUUUUUAUAUAUUCUUGCGCGCGCUUAUUAUUUUUUGCGAGAAGCAUCCUUCUCGUCAUUAUUCAUAGUACUAUUUUUGCAAGGGUCUCUUUUAGGACCCUUUUUGGCUAGACGGCUUGGUGGCCGCUCUAGGCUUAUUGGUGGGUGCUCUCUCUAAGGUCUGUCCUCUUGUGGGAGCAUCUGCCUUUAUUUGGAAGUGUGUUGUUGUUGUUGUUUUUUUUUUUUUUUGUAAGACCCUUUGGCCUCCUUGAUGUUCACAAGGGUAGCUAAUCCUUGUGAACCCAAGGGAUGCCUUGUAAGGUCCUCUCCCUGUUUUAUAUAUAUAAGAACUUCGCUUAAGGCCCUGAUACAAGGGGUCCUUUUGGGAUUCCCUGUUAGAAGAUCCUUUUUAGGAUCCCCUGUUAGAGGGUCCUUUUUAGGAUCAUGGUCCCUUUUAGGGUCCUCUUGAUAGAGGGUCCUUUUUAGGACCCUCCUGGUGCAUAGGGUCUGUUUUAGGAUCCUCCUGAUAGAGGGUCCUUUUCAGGAUCCUGGUGCAAGGGGUCCUUUUCUUUUUUUUGAUCCUCCUGUCAGUUGUAUGCUUUAUCUUCACGGGCCACUAUUGCCCCCCCAAGUGUCUGGUGAAGUUUACUUCGGCAGGCACUUUGAUUGAUGCCCACAUAAGGUAGAAAAAAUAGCGUGCGAAGAUGUGACCAGUUUCAUUCAUAGAAUUCAGGUUACAACGAUACAUAUAAGACUUACAUAAAAAAGGA